UACGUAGGGGGGCGAGCGUUGUCCGGAUUUAUUGGGCGUAAAGAGCGUGUAGGCGGCUUGGCAAGUCUGACGUGAAAGCCCGCGGCUCAACCGCGGAUUGUCGUUGGAAACUGCCUCGCUAGAGUCCGGAAGAGGAGAGUCGGAAUUCCUGGUGUAGCGGUGGAAAUGCGCAGAUAUCAGGAAGAACACCCGUGGCGAAGGCGGCUCUCUGGGACGGUACUGACGCUGAGACGCGAAAGCGUGGGGAGCGAACAGG
rnacentral:rRNA from 1 species